CAGCAGCCACGGGAACACGAAGGGUGCAAGCGUUACUCGGAAUUACUGGGCGUAAAGCGUGCGUAGGUGGUGGUUUAAGUCCGUUGUGAAAGCCCUGGGCUCAACCUGGGAAUUGCAGUGGAUACUGGGUCACUAGAGUGUGGUAGAGGAUAGUGGAAUUUCCGGUGUAGCAGUGAAAUGCGUAGAGAUCGGAAGGAACAUCUGUGGCGAAGGCGACUAUCUGGGCCAACACUGACACUGAGGCACGAAAGCGUGGGGAGCAAACAGGAUUAGAUACCCCAGUAGUCCCUGUCUCUUAUAC
rnacentral:rRNA from 1 species